rnacentral:lncRNA from 1 species
CCACACCUUGCAGAUAGGGUCGGUUGCAGCCUGGAAUCAUGGGUGAUGGCCCUGAGGAACAAGUUCCAACAACACAGGAAAAAAGCUACAAAACUGCUCGGAGGAAAUGCUAAUUCGAAAGAAAUGCUGUCUGCCAAAGCAAAUGCAGGCACCAUCUGAAGAAGUGGCAAACAACAAAUUGUGCCGUCUUUUUGACUGCAGCCAUCUUACUACAUAUGG